AGCCACUUCGGUUGUGGUUAUA
rnacentral:miRNA from 14 species